rnacentral:rRNA from 1 species
GACGAACGCUGGCGGCGUGCUUAACACAUGCAAGUCGAACGGAAAGGCCCUGCUUGCAGGGUACUCGAGUGGCGAACGGGUGAGUAACACGUGGGUGAUCUGCCCUGCACUUCGGGAUAAGCCUGGGAAACUGGGUCUAAUACCGGAUAGGAGCCAUUUUUAGUGUGAUGGUUGGAGAGUUUUUUCGGUGUAGGGUGAGCUCGCGGCCUAUCAGCUUGUUGGUGGGGUAAUGGCCUACCAAGGCGGCGACGGGUAGCCGGCCUGAGAGGGUGGACGGCCACACUGGGACUGAGAUACGGCCCAGACUCCUACGGGAGGCAGCAGGGGGGAAUACUGCACAAUGGGCGCAAGCCUGAUGCAGCGACGCCGCGUGGGGGAUGACGGCCUUCGGGUUGUAAAAUCCUUUCGCUAGGGACGAAGCUUUUUGUGACGGUACCUAGAUAAGAAGCACCGGCUAACUACGUG